rnacentral:rRNA from 1 species
UACGGGGGGGGCAAGCGUUGUUCGGAAUUACUGGGCGUAAAGGGCUCGUAGGCGGCCAACUAAGUCAGACGUGAAAUCCCUCGGCUUAACCGGGGAACUGCGUCUGAUACUGGAUGGCUUGAGUUUGGGAGAGGGAUGCGGAAUUCCAGGUGUAGCGGUGAAAUGCGUAGAUAUCAGGAGGAACACCGGUGGCGAAGGCGGAUCUCUGGGCCUUACCUGACGCUCAGGUGCGAAAGCUAGGGGAGCGAACAGG